CUCCUGACACAGAAAAAAAUUGAAGUAAAUAAAUUGGAGGAUCAAAUCCUGCUGCAAAGAACGAGCUUUUGAAAGAACAGUGCUGUGCCUAAAACAUGUUCUCUGGAGAAAACAUGGAGUAAGAUACCAGCCUCUCUGUGGAGGGUUCAUUUAUGAUGCGUAUGAUCUUGUAAUAUGCACAGCUUGUUCCUGUAAGAUAGACUUAAAUGAUGAGUGUAGUUCUCUUAGAGAUAUAGUUAUAACUGAUUGAGACAAAUUAAUGAGAGGGAAAUGUUCAAAGCAAUUUCCUCAGUUUUAUGGGUCAUGGUGUGGCAUGAUCUCUAAUGUCAUAUCUAGAUGCUCCCUGAUGGCUGCCUGUGAGAUUUUUAUGAAAAACCCAAAAGCACACAUGAAAGGACUGUUUAGCAUUGAUGAGAGUAGGAACAGGUGAUACAAUAUUCCAAGUAUUCUCUUGUCUUAGUAGUUACAACUAGGCUGUCUGGGAAUUAAAGGAGCUGUAGUUCAAUACAUCUCGAAAGCACAUAAUAAGGGAAAGCAAAAUUAAAUGCAGAGAAAUCUCUACUCAACAGUGAUCUUCAACUAGUCAUUCUCACUUUCCUUCCCCACAAAGGACUGGUUGCUCAAAAUCCGGCUUGUAAUGGAUUGGCUCCAUAUCUUUUUAUCAAUGUAUAUUUACAUUGCUUUUACUUCCAACCAUGUUUUAAUAUAACUUGCUAAAGAGUGUUUAAAAAUCCUUGUGUGUUUUUAAAAUCUAUUUUAAUCUCUUUAUGAGAAAAUGUGAACCCCAUUUCUAGGAGAAAGAUCCUAUAAAAAUAAACAAAUAAAUAAAUUGAAGAGCAUUAUAUACCACUUUGAGCUUUCUAGAGGAAAUGUAGACUAUAAAUGUAGGCAGGAAUAGUAUUCGGCUAGUGAAGGUAGCAUUUCAUAUGUCUGACAAAGAGGGCUUUAGUUCAUGAAAAUGUCGACCACAACACAUUCAUUACAUGCCACAAGUCUCCAUGUUGGUUUUGUUAGCACUACCAGGAAUUUACUUCUUCUUCCUGAACUUAGCUUCCCUGCUUUCAACAGCUGCAUGACUUGUAAAACCUAACCAAUACAUAUUUCCUCAUUAACUGCUUUGUUGCUGUUAUAUGCCUUCAAGUUAACUCUGACUUAUUGCCAUCAUCACAGAGUUUCCUUGGCAAGAUUUAUUCCAAGAUUUGCUAUGAGAGUAACUUGCCCAAGGUCCCUAGUGGGUUUCCAUGGCUGAGCAGGCAUUUAAAUCCUGAUCCUAGAGUCCACACACAAAUCCUUACACUAUGCUGGAUCCCGCAACGUCCAGAUGUGAUGAAUUUAUUCCUGCUAUGAAAUUGUUAAUGGGUGGCAAAAGAGAGGUGGCUCUUUUAGAAGAACAACCACAGGUUUCCUCUUCAAUCAUGCUUGGAUCAUCUUGGUAAUGGGGUACAGAGAAGCAAGAAUGGAAGAACAACAGAAAUGGGUCAGAGUGAAAGGCAAGGCAGCAUAGAUUUCAGGAAUAUAAAAAUGGGAACAAAGCUGGAGAGAGGUUGGAAUAAGAACAUGCAAAAUGACUUGUUGGAUCUCACCAAAGUGUCAUACCUAGCCUGUUUCUUAACACUUCUAAAACAUUUAUAAAAUGUAGUUAGUUAGAACUCAUCAUAUGACGCAGGGAGAUCCACCCCUUUGCAUCCGUCAUGCUCAGUUACUGAAGUGUUCUGAAAGUGUAAAGAAAUUGGGGGAGGUGGGAAAAGAGAAGACAGGCAGAAAUCGUCUCUUGUGCUCAGGAAUUGCUUUGAAAAAAGAAAAAAAAACAGUGGGAUCUGUCAGAUUCAGCCACAAUGAAUCAAUUUGGUGAUGUGGGUAAAUGGGCGUUCCUAUGGGCAGUGUCCUAAGAAGCAGUGAUACCCCAGUACUCUCAAUUUCAGCUGCUUGAUCCUUCCUUUGCACUGUAGUUUUAUUUUAUUUUAUGUAUUCAUUAGAAAUUGCACUACUUCAUGAGAGCCCUACUUCAUCACCUCAAAGUGCCAAAACUCAAAAACUCAUGAGAAUUUGAUAUUUUGCAAUUUUGAAGAUCUCAAAGUUGUUGUUUUUUAAGGGAGUGACGGGAACUGCACUCUGAAAAUGGAUAAUUUUGGAACACGGGGUCAGAAAAAAACAACAUGGGAUGGGUAAUGAGAAACUAUGUACUUUGUUUUCUAAUGCUAUGGGACAACACACAAGAGUAAUGUGGCACAUCUCCCUGCUCUCCCCAUGGGAUGAAGUCCAAAGAAGCAAGCCACACAGCAAUUCCAGGAAUAUGUCAGUUUACAGAUUAAGAUUGUCUGGCUCAACUGGCUCAUCUGUUCCUUUCCUUGCAUAAAAAUCCACUAUGCUUAUGCCAUUCAUCCACUGGAUGAAUGGCAUAAGCACUUUGCAUUGUUUCAAACUUUGUAUAUUGUAUUUUAUGACUAUUUUAUGACUGUUUUAACUGUUUUAAUCAUUUUAGUUUAUUGUAUAUCAGUGUAACGGCAUCAAUUGCCACUUGUAAGCCGCCCUGAGUCCCCUCGGGUGAGAAGGGCGGGGUAUAAAUAAUUGAAAUAAAUAAAUAAAAUAAAUAUCCCUCUUAUGUUGACUGCGCUCUUUAGAGUACAUGCUUACAGGCGGUGAUGGCAUGAGAGUUGACGCUACUAGGUUGGCAUCCAUCUGCUAAAUUCUUUCCACACCUACAAGCUGAAGGACCAGGUCGCUCUGAAGUAUUUUCCACUGGUGCAUUUUGUAUCAGUCCCAGACAACCACAUCUCAAGCGUCUCUGCAUUAUUACUUAAAAAGGGAUUUUUCUGAGCUAGUGACUGGUUUGUUACCUCCUUUAGCUGGACUUUGGAUUUGUUCUUCUUUUAAGUGUGGGACUCCUAUCUGCAAUGGAAGUUUUGACAGUAGCAUCAUUUUCCAAAAGCUGCAUUUCUCUUGAACUGGAUGGGCAAAGAAGCAAGAAAAAGCACUAAACUAAGCCACAAAUGAUUCAGUGUGAUUGCAAAACAAGAAAAAAAAUCAAAACAGGAAAUGUGCUCUUCAGACUUCAACAUCUGCACCAGCUAUCUGCUGCCAAAUGGUAGCAAGACAUCAAACUUUCCCCAACCUGGCACCCUCAAAAUGUUAUAGACUACAAUGUUGUCCCAGGCAACAGAACAAAUUAAGAAUGAAGGGAGAUAUAAUCUGAAACAUCUGGAAGAAACCAGGAUUGAGUUUUGCUCUACAUCAGUCUUCCUAACCUGGUGAUCUCCCGAUGUUUUGGAGUGCAACUUCCACCAGCAACAGAAAAUAUGGGGAAGGGUCACAGGACCUGAUCCACAACAUCUACAGGGCAUCUUAUUUGUUAAGGCUGCUUUACAUGAAGAUUGGCUUGAGAUAUUUGAAGAAGACAUUUUUCUUAAAACAAAUUCUAUUCUGUUUCAGAUCAAAAGAACUUCAAGCUCUAGUCUUGGGGAGAUGGUGGCGGGGUAUAAAUAAAGUUUAUUAUUAUUAUUAUUAUUAUUAUUAUUAUUAUUAUUAUUAUAGUCUGUUUAAUCAGGUUGUUUGAAACUGAAGUCUAGUUUGAAAAACAAUUGUCUUCAGCAGGAAGCUUUAUUCUACUUGUGUAGGAAGAAGAUAAGAAAAGGUGAAAGUUUGAAACCAUGGUAAGCUCAUUACAGUUUAUGUAUGUAGUACUAAAACCUAGUAUGUAGUCUUACAUGUGAACCAAGUCAAUGGCAAAUUAAUUCAUUUAAAGUAGGAAGUUGAUGCUUCCAAAUUUCUCCAUGCCCUAGUAUCAGAAAAUGGAAGGCACUAGGAGUAUUUGAUUCAAAGCCUCAAGAAAGCUAUGGUUUAAUAUGUAUAUGCAAACCAAAUCAGGGCAUGUAAUAAUAAACCUUAUGUAUGUAGUGUAUUCAGUAAACAGCCAGGUAACAAUGCACCUCAAGACAUCUGAACAGAAGAAGCUACACAACUACACAGAGGUUUUGGUGCCUGAGCAGAGGCAGCUACCGACACAAUCAGUUGCCAUGUGACCAUCUGAACUAUGAUAGUUAGUUUCAAGAGCAGAUCAAAGAAGUUUUUAAACCACGUGAAUCACCUCCAGCUGGGAAAAGAUCCAACAAGAGUGAGUCAGCCACCAACUGCUAUUGGACAAGCUAGGAAUGUAAAGUUCAUCCAAUGAAUAGUGGUUAUGGAGAUUUUCCUUUCCUUCCAAGGCACAAUGAGACCAAAGCCUAAAAUAAAAAUGAGGCAGUAUAAAUACAUCCAUAGGCACCUAACAUGGAGAGUGAGUGUUAAUGCCAUGUUCUCAAACAAUCUACUCAAGAGUCCUAUUGAUACCAAAAACUAGGACGUAACCUUAAAGAUAUUCAUUGAAAAUGGACUAUCUUAUUACCUCAUUAUGGCCACACAAGCAGUUUAACUUAAAUGAUGUGUGAAAGUAUCAUGCAGUCAGCUUCAAUUACUAACCAGUAAACCAAGCCAAUGCCUUCAAAUAACUUCCAAUAAAUAAAUGUCUUAUUCCCUUUGAAGAUUUGUAUAAGUUUAAUGGAAGAAAAAGAAACAAACAUGUACGUGAUAAACUCUUUUAUAACAACCCUCACAUUUAGAAAGUACUUACAGGGCUAAUGUGUCAGAGGUCAUCUCAGAGAGCUGAAUUAACAGCUUCUGAAUGGGUAAAAAUAGUACAAUAUUAGUGGUGAGUGCAAUUCAUCAACUAGACCUUUCAUUCUGUAUAUGACUAUUACUUACCACAAUGCUGUGCAUUAAAUAUUCAUAUUAUAUGAGGUCUCCCAAUAAAGGGUGGGAGAGGAAUAAUGUUUACUCAAGACUCAGCAGUACACUUAAUGAGAAAAAGCUAACAUGCUACAAUAAGAGUAUUUCAAAUAUUUGAUAUACUCACAGUGAUCAUUUUUUUAUCCAAGUAUAUAUUUUUGUUCACAUGUAAUGAGAUCUUAUUGGACUUAAAGGAAAGAUAGAAAUUUGGGUCUCUAUAUUUUGUUGAACUUUAAAUGCCCAUGGCCUCAGCCAAUCUAACAAAUGCAGAGAAAUCCUAGGAGCUGCACUCCAACAACAAAUGAAGGCCAAAAUGGUUUUAAUGUUGGACCAAGGUUCAGUUCCCUGCUCAGACAUGGAAACCCACUGGAUGACCUUAGAUGAGUCACAAACUGCUUUCAAAACUAACAUGCAUUUUGCUGCAUCAUUUCUUGUGUCUCUAGUGGGUUUAAGGGUAAAUGACUUGUUUGCUGCAAAAUAUAGAAUAUGUUCCUCACAUCAUUAUAAGCUAGACAUGAUAACAUGAUUUCCAUGAUAGAUGGCAGUGCUAAUGUACAAUUUGACUAUUCCGUCUGUCUUCUGAGUUCUUAAGACGCUCAGGAAAUUACAAAUAACUGCUAUCUGGAUAAAACAAAAUCCUUUUACAUACCAUUUUCCUUAUUCCUAUAAAGCAUAUGGUAAAUAUAAGUCUUUUAAAACUAAACAAUAGCCCAUAGAAUGGAAAUGCUCAAUGGGCUUGUGCACAGAUUUGUUUGGGCCAUUUGCCUUUGGCUUGUUCGGAUGCCCAUAACAGCAAGGGCUCUGCCGCCACAUUUUUUUUUGACUGAAACAGCCCAUGUGGCUGUGGUCGUGGCUACCUUCAGAAGCUAUGAUGACAAACUGAGACAGUUGUACUUUGGUCAUAUUAGGAAAAGAGAAAAAUCACAUUUCAGAAGAAUAGACUGGGCUUUUGAUGGGCUAUUGAAAGGAUGCCUUGAAGGCCUCCAAUUUAUGGGAUUGUCAUAGGUCAAAGCCAAUGUAAUCAGAAGUCUUAGAUAUAAGUAUAUAUUCAUCUGUACAUUAGUCUUCCAGCUUAGACUUGAUAUUAUAAAAUCUUUCCUAGUAUUACUAAAAUGAACAGCCAUCUUAGGAGGCACCAGAUUUUAACAGUAAGGGAACAUGGGAACAUAACUUUGAUUGAGAAUUCCAGUAAAAAUAACUUUCCUGCCUUAAUGAAUUGGGCAUUCUGAUCAGAACAAUCAAAAGGUAUGAACUUGCAUUUGCACCUCACUCAAGGCAGUACCUCUUGAGAAUGGUUUCGAUUCAAAACAAAAAUUGGUAGAGACAAAUGCAACCACCUACCACUUUAUUGUUAUUGUGAGCCUUUAAGUUGUUUCUGACUUAUGGCAACUCUAUUGCAGGGUUUUCUUGCCAAGAGUUCUCAGAGGGAGCCUGCCUUUGCUGCCCUCCGAAACUGAGAGAGGGUUACUUGCCCAAGACCACCCAGUGGAUUUCCAUGGUUGAGUGGAGAUCAAACGCUGGUCUCCAGAGUUGUAAUCCAGCGCUAAUACCACUACAUCAUGCUGGAUUUUUAAACAUAUCCUUACAUUACUUUAAUGUGCAAAUGACAACACCAAAUCCCACUAUAGGGUUGUUAUAAGCACACAAGAACAAUGCAUUUCAAGGUGAAUCAUUAUUCAGCUUUCCUGCUAGGUUAUAAAAUGACUCUUAAUGUAUAUAGGGUUUAUUAUAUAUUCAUUGUCUCAAAGAUGCCUUUGAUACAGCAAUUGUGGUAACUACAGCUGUUGUAUAUCUCUUGUAAAUAUAUCCUCUACGAAAUAAAAUAUGUGGAUGCA